rnacentral:snoRNA from 1 species
GUGAUGCCAGGGUUAAGGGUUAAGCUGCAGCGCCAGAGCACAUGCCUGCGCGUAACUGGGGCUACCGGCCCCACGGGCAGGCCUCUGACCACCAGGGACAAGG